rnacentral:rRNA from 1 species
AUUGAACGCUGGCGGCAUGCCUUACACAUGCAAGUCGAACGGUAACGGGCCUUCGGGUGCCGACGAGUGGCGAACGGGUGAGUAAUACAUCUGAACGUGCCCGAUCGUGGGGGAUAACGAGGCGAAAGCUUUGCUAAUACCGCAUACGAUCUACGGAUGAAAGCAGGGGACCGCAAGGCCUUGCGCGGACGGAGCGGCCGAUGGCAGAUUAGGUAGUUGGUGGGAUAAAAGCUUACCAAGCCGACGAUCUGUAGCUGGUCUGAGAGGAUGAUCAGCCACACUGGGACUGAGACACGGCCCAGACUCCUACGGGAGGCAGCAGUGGGGAAUUUUGGACAAUGGGCGCAAGCCUGAUCCAGACAUGCCGCGUGCAGGAUGAAGGCCUUCGGGUUGUAAACUGCUUUUGUACGGAACGAAAAGCCUUCUUUUAAUACAGGAGGGUCAUGACGGUACCGUAAGAAUAAGCACCGGCUAACUACGUG